rnacentral:rRNA from 1 species
UGCCAGACUCCUACGGGAGGCAGCAGUGAGGAAUAUUGGUCAAUGGACGAGAGUCUGAACCAGCCAAGUAGCGUGAAGGAUGACUGCCCUAUGGGUUGUAAACUUCUUUUAUAUGGGAAUAAAAUGUUCCGCGUGUGGGAUUUUGUAUGUACUUUAUGAAUAAGGAUCGGCUAACUCCGUGCCAGCAGCCGCGGUAAUACGGAGGAUCCGAGCGUUAUCCGGAUUUAUUGGGUUUAAAGGGAGCGUAGAUGGGUUGUUAAGUCAGUUGUGAAAGUUUGCGGCUCAACCGUAAAAUUGCAAUUGAUACUGGCAGCCUUGAGUACAGUUGAGGUAGGCGGAAUUCGUGGUGUAGCGGUGAAAUGCGUAGAUAUCGAGAGGAACACUCGUGGCGAAGGCGGGUUCCUGGACAUUAACUGACGCUGAGGCACGAAGGCCAGGGGAGCGAAAGGGAUUAGAUACCCCCGUA